rnacentral:rRNA from 1 species
AACCUCCGCAAUGUGAGAAAUCGCGACGGGGGGAUCCCAAGUGCCAUUCUUAACGGGAUGGCUUUUCAUUAGUGUAAAGAGCUUUUGGAAUAAGGGCUGGGCAAGACCGGUGCCAGCCGCCGCGGUAACACCGGCAGCUCUAGUGGUAGCAGUUUUUAUUGGGCCUAAAGCGUCCGUAGCCGGUUUAAUAAGUCUCUGGUGAAAUCCUGUAGCUUAACUGUGGGAAUUGCUGGAGAUACUAUUAGACUUGAGACCGGGAGAGGUUAGAGGUACUCCCAGGGUAGAGGUGAAAUUCUGUAAUCCUGGGAGGACCGCCUGUUGCGAAGGCGUCUAACUGGAACGGUUCUGACGGUGAGGGACGAAAGUUAGGGGCGCGAACCGGAUUAGAUACCCGGGUAGUCCUAACUGUAAACGAUGCGGACUUGGUGUUGGGGUGGCUUUGAGCUGCUCCAGUGCCGAAGGGAAGCUGUUAAGUCCGCCGCCUGGGAAGUACGGUCGCAAGACUGAAACUUAAAAGAAUU